AUUGGAGAUUUAGCUCAGUGGUAGAGCACUUGCCUAGCAAGCAAGCACAAGGCCCUGGGUUCAAUCCUCAGCUCCAAUA